AUGCUUGCCUACCGUACUAUGUGGUCAGCGAUAAUGGCCUCUUUGCUGCUGCUGCUCGCGGCGUCGUCCGCUGCCCCCGCCGACGCCUUAUCCGCCCUUACCACGGCCUCACCAAACGCUCGCUGUUCGACCCUUCCUGCACCGGCGUCUUCGACCGGCAGCUCUUGCGGAGGCUGCGUCGAGUGUGUGAUGACUGUUUCAACGUAUUUAGGGAACCCAACGUAGCUAUUGAUUGCAGGGAGAACUGUUACAACAACGAAGUGUUCCGCCAGUGUAUGGCAUACGUCGUUCCCGCAAACCUCCACGACGAACACAGGCAAGCCGUGCAGAUGGUCGGCAAGUAAACUACUUCGAAAGAGCCCCGUCUCCUCUAUUCUGACGUCUGUGGCAUAAAUAGUAUAUGGUAAAAUAACAGAAACGGCAUAUGUUUCCAUCAUCACAUACUGACCCGCUACUGUAGUUAGUAGUCUUUGAUGGUAAAGGUGACAUAAUGAGAUUUAUUCAGUUAUAUUUUCUGGUUUUCUUAAUAGUCAUUAAGAUUUUUAAUUGAUCGGGGUAAUAGAGGCUGGUCGUUUACAAACCAUUACCAUCAUCGACUGCGUGUACUGACGGAAGUCCUCUGAGCUCAGGUAUCAGACAGAGCGGAAAAUGGGCGUAAGAUGGGGAAGGAAAAACAUGAACGCCAUCUUUCAGUAAGAAUAUAAAUUGGAUAUCCAAAGAUACAGUUUUCCAGAUGGAGGUUUGAAGCGACUGAAAACAUACUUUCGAUUU